rnacentral:rRNA from 1 species
AAGGGUGCGUAGGCGGUUUAUUAAGUCAGUGGUGAAAGACGGUCGCUCAACGAUUGCAGUGCCAUUGAUACUGGUAGACUUGAGUGGGAUUGAGGUAGCUGGAAUGGAUAGUGUAGCGGUGAAAUGCAUAGAUAUUAUCCAGAACACCAAUUGGCGUAGGCAAGUUACUAAGUCUCAACUGACGCUGAGGCACGAAAGUGUGGGUAUCAAACAGGAUUAGAUAUCCCUGU